rnacentral:sRNA from 1 species
GGAAAAGUUAAUGAUUAAAAUGCUACGGACGGUAUUAGAAAAUAAUAAGAAUU